GAUCGGAUGCCCUCCGCCAUUUUCCUAACCCUAGCGUCGCCCAAGACCCCUCCUCUAGCAGAGAGAACAGAUGGACACCUCUCCUUCUAGACCAAACCUAGCCGCCACCCCCCACUCUCUCGUCCUCACCUCCUACACUCACCUCAUCUCACUCACACACAGUUAGAAGCGCAGAUUAGUAGCUAGGAAUUCUGGAAAUACAAAUUUCCCGGAUCUGAAACAAAUACUCCAAAAAUAAAAGCAAAAAAUUAAAACAAAGAGAUUUCAAAAGCUGUUUCCUCCUCUAUUUGUUGCGGCACAUUUUCUGUGAUUUGAAAGAUUGUUUUGAGCUUGGAAGUGCUAAUCACUGCUGACUGUUGCUAGAUCAGCCUUGCUGAGCUUCAUCCUUACGGAUUCUAGCCUUUAUUUGGCUUUUCAAAAUCUGUCUCCAUUAUGCCGAUAGGUAUGUGAUUGCUCACCUGAACUUUUUCCUUUGAAUGUAUAAAUAAUGAUCGAAUUGCCCAUUGUAUCCAUGUCUAAUUUCACAUGUUCAUUAUGCUUUAUUGCCAGAUUUGUCUACAUGUGAGUGUUCUGUUAUAAUCUAAUUCUAAACUGACUGUUUGAAGCUGAAACUCUAAGGUGAAAUCGUCCAAAUGCUUUAAUGCCAUGUCACAGAUUCAGCUUGUAUACAUACUUACUGCCGUCCAUGCACUGAUUUAAUUUUUGAUGAGUUUGAAUUCCAGUUCAUACCAUUUCUGAUAUUGAAAUUAAUUGAGAUUAUAGCAUAACCAUUAGAGAAUUAAUUGAUCCAAUGAAACUCUGGAGUUAACUCAAGUGUUUGAUUUUAUAGUCGGGAUCUCGUUCUGUUUCACAUGGCACGUCUUAUUGAUUCAAUGAUAACAGUCUUCUAUUGGUGGUUGCAAAUUAAGAAAUCAGUGUAGAAGGUCAGGAAGAUUGGUGGGUCAUCACUGUUUAGGUAGUUAGUCUCAUUAGUUAGAGACUCGUGGUCAAUUUUAGAUAAUAUCUAUAGACAUACAUGUAAUUCAUUCCACAUUUGGUUGUAUAUUUGUUAAUUUUGAUUUGAUGCAAUUGGUUAUUGAUUUGAGAGUGUUUGAACACAAACAAGUUCAGAUUUGAGAGGCUCAGCACAUCUAAAAUUUGUGAGCUGCACUUGGUCUACUUGAGAUCUCAUGUGCUUCCUUAGACAAACACAACCCAUAAUUGUAUUAGCUUCCCCUAACCAACAUUAAUUUGGAAAGAAACAUUCAAUCACAUUUGACAAAUCUUUACUGUUUGUUCAACGUGAAUUCAUUCCUGGGAAUCAAGGCUUUUGUUCCAACUUACUACUUCGUUUAAUUUUCCCAUUAUUCACGUAGUCUUAAGCACUUUGAAUGUUCGUGCCAUUGCGACGUCCACAUGAAAUCCCAAAUGUUUAAGCAAACUAAUUAGUUAGUUCAUGAAUAUGCGUAGAAUGCUUUAAGCGCAUUUUAAUCUAUUAUCGUGAUUAUGUACAUGUUCGCGUGACAUAAUUAUGUUCUUUCACUAAUAAAUUAAAGUACGCGUUCGCGCGACUUUGGC
rnacentral:lncRNA from 1 species